GGAGGGAUAAAGGGAUGAAUUAAGUGCUUUCCUAAGGUUACAUACUGAUAAAUAGCAUAUUUGAGAUUUAAGGCCAAUUGUCUGGCUCCCAACCCUCUAACCAGUUAUUGGAAAACCUGAGAUACUAACCUUACUCUGUCUGACUCCAAAACCUGCUUUUUCCUUUAAUUUCUUUAUCUAUAAAAUGAGAAUGCUAGCGCCUACCUCAAAGUGUGUUGUGAGGAAUAAAUGAAUCCCUACAGUCUGUGAAAGUGAUUUUUAAGCUGCUGAAAGCAACCAAAGGGAAGGUGUUUGGUGGUGGCUCUCUCAGUGCCUGCUACAAUGAUCUGCCACCUCCCACUCACCUUUCAGGAUGGCCUUGAGGAGUUUGUGGACAGUGGAUGCCAAGGUCAACACAAGCAGCAAUGUGAGAAGAUGAGUUACGAACCUUUUUAGGAGCUCUGAAAGGCUCAAGCACUCAAUAAAAUAGUUCUUAGAAAUUUAGUUUUUCAAAAGCAACUAAAACAGCCUUGCAGAAUUACAGAAGCCAGGAGAAUAUUUUCAAACCUUAGUUAGAAAAUGAAGACCCUUGAGUAACUAGGCAGAAACUUUAAUCGAAUAUACCCCAUUAGAUUUUCAGGAACGUAUAGAAACUAUGUAGCAUAAAGGUUUAUUUUUUCAGAUAAGGAACAUGAGAUCUGGAUACCAUACUAAUCAGUAGCAGAAUUGGGACUAGAACCCAGGCCUCCUGGUUCUGAGUCUGUGCUACUAUCUACUAUAUGAAUUGCUCCUCUAAAUGCAUUCAAAUGCAUAGGAAUGGCAUUGACAACAAAGUUAAUGACAAAGUAUUAACUAUUAAGGCCCACCAGUAUCCGGUUGGUGUGAAGGUUCUUGCCAAAAAAUUUAAAAUAAAAAUGAAAAUUUAACACAUCUGACUUUUCUUUUCUGUUUGUUCCUCAUACAUUAAAUAUGAUAUUUAACCAAUUAUCUCAACUGCCUCUCAACUGCAGAAAGUUAACCUUUAUAUGGAAUGUAUUUUAAUAUUUUAUCAAUCCAGACCUAGCACCAAAAGAUGAUUUUAUAAAUUAUUUCAUCUACUACAUCCUUAUUUUCCUUCCACAAGAUGGAAAUUAGCAUAUUAAUCACUGCUAACAUUUUUUGAGGAUUUAUUAUUUAAAGGCACUAUACUAAGUGCUUUUACAUGGAUUAUCUUGUUUUAUCCUUAAAACAGCCUCAUGAGGCUGAAUAUUUAUUAUGCCCAUCUUCUUUUUUUUAGACAGAGUCUCACUCUGUCUCCCAGGCUGGAGUGCAGUAGUGUGAUCUCGGUUCACCGCAACUUCUGCCUCCUGGGUUCAAGCGAUUCUUGUGCCUCAGCCUCCCGAGUAGCUGGUAUUACAGGCACCCGCCACCAUGCCCGGCUAAUUUUUGUAUUUUAGUAGAGACGAAGUUUCAAAAUGUUGGCCAGGCUGGUCUCAAACUCCUGACCUCAGGUGAUCCACCCACCUCGGCCUCCCAAAGUGCUGGGAUUACAGGUGUGAGCCACCACGCCUGGCCUGUGCCCGUCUUCUAGAUGAAGAAUAUGAGGUCUUAAAUGAGUUAAGAGAUGCUCAAGUUUUCAUAGCUAACGAAGAGGUGGGGCCAAAAUUCAAACCAAGACACUUCAUUGCCAAACAGUGUCUGUGCUCUUAAAGUCCGAUGCCUCCCUACCCCAAGACUCCCUCCGACAAGCAGCAGGGUUCCAUAAAAAAUAAAGGCAGUCUGUGCAAUCCAUGCAAUCUCAAGGUUAUGUGUGCAAUUACUGAUGGGGGUAUAGGCAUAGAACAUCACACACUUCCUACCUUUCAGCUAGGAUGACAAUUUCAGUCUACUUCACAGGGAUUUAGAGUACCAUUGAAACUGCUUCUGAAGAUACGCACUCUUCAUAUUCAGAGGGAGCCCCAGCCC
rnacentral:lncRNA from 1 species